AUUGAACGCUGGCGGCAGGCCUAACACAUGCAAGUCGAACGAGUGGCGGACGGGUGAGUAAUGUCUGGGAAACUGCCCGAUGGAGGGGGAUAACUACUGGAAACGGUAGCUAAUACCGCAUACCAUCGGAUGUGCCCAGAUGGCAUUAGCUAGUGGGUGGGGUAACGGCUCACCAAGGCGACGAUCCCUAGCUGGGCUGAGAGGAUGACCAGCCACACUGGAACUGCGACACGGUCCAGACUCCUACGGGAGGCAGCAGUGGGGAAUUGUGCGCAAUGGGCGGAAGCCGGAUGCAGCCAUGCCGCGUGUAUGAAGAAGGCCUUCGGGUUGUAAAGUACUUUCAGCGGGGAGGCGUUAGGAGGAGAAGAAGCACCGGCUAACUACGUGCCAGCAGCCGCGGUAAUAG
rnacentral:rRNA from 1 species